GAUGAACGCUGGCGGCGUGCUUAACACAUGCAAGUCGAGCGAAGCACUUACCAUUGACUCUUCGGAAGAUUUGGUAAAUGACUGAGCGGCGGACGGGUGAGUAACGCGUGGGUAACCUGCCUCAUACAGGGGAAUAACAGUUAGAAAUGGCUGCUAAUGCCGCAUAAGCGCACAGUACCGCAUGGUACGGUGUGAAAAACCGAGGUGGUAUGAGAUGGACCCGCGUCUGAUUAGGUAGUUGGUGGGGUAACGGCCUACCAAGCCGACGAUCAGUAGCCGGCCUGAGAGGGUGAACGGCCACAUUGGGACUGAGACACGGCCCAGACUCCUACGGGAGGCAGCAGUGGGGAAUAUUGCACAAUGGGGGAAACCCUGAUGCAGCGACGCCGCGUGAAGGAAGAAGUAUCUCGGUAUGUAAACUUCUAUCAGCAGGGAAGAAAAUGACGGUACCKACUA
rnacentral:rRNA from 1 species